CUUGAAACACGGAUUGCGGAGUGCUUGUCUACUGCGAGUCAAAGGGUGUUAAAACCUUGCGGCGAAAUGAAAGUGAAGGUCAGUCUUGAAUUGGCCGACGUGGGAUCGGUGCUCCUCGGAGUGCUGCGCACCACGGCCCUGUGCGUGUCACUUGUGACUGUGCAGAGGUUGAGCAGUUGGCAAACGACCCGAAAGAUGGUGAACUAUGCCUGAGCAGGAUGAAGCCAGAGGAAACUCUGGUGGAAGUCCGUAUCGGUUCUGACGUGCAAAUCGAUCGAUAGACUUGGGUAUAGGGGCGAAAGACUAAUCGAACCAUC
rnacentral:rRNA from 1 species